rnacentral:rRNA from 1 species
AACGAACGCUGGCGGCAUGCCUAACACAUGCAAGUCGAACGAGAUCUUCGGGUCUAGUGGCGCACGGGUGCGUAACGCGUGGGAAUCUGCCCUUUGGUUCGGAAUAACAGUUGGAAACGACUGCUAAUACCGGAUGAUGACGAAAGUCCAAAGAUUUAUCGCCAGAGGAUGAGCCCGCGUAGGAUUAGCUAGUUGGUGUGGUAAAGGCGCACCAAGGCGACGAUCCUUAGCUGGUCUGAGAGGAUGAUCAGCCACACUGGGACUGAGACACGGCCCAGACGCCUACGGGAGGCAGCAGUGGGGAAUAUUGGACAAUGUGCGAAAGCCUGAUCCAGCAAUGCCGCGUGAGUGAUGAAGGCCUUAGGGUUGUAAAGCUCUUUUACCCGGGAUGAUAAUGACAGUACCGGGAGAAUAAGCUCCGGCUAACUCCGUGCCAGCAGCCGCAGUAA